GAUGAACGCUGGCGGCGUGCCUAAUACAUGCAAGUCGAGCGAACAGACGAGGAGCUUGCUCCUCUGACGUUAGCGGCGGACGGGUGAGUAACACGUGGAUAACCUACCUAUAAGACUGGGAUAACUUCGGGAAACCGGAGCUAAUACCGGAUAAUAUAUUGAACCGCAUGGUUCAAUAGUGAAAGACGGUUUUGCUGUCACUUAUAGAUGGAUCCGCGCCGCAUUAGCUAGUUGGUAAGGUAACGGCUUACCAAGGCGACGAUGCGUAGCCGACCUGAGAGGGUGAUCGGCCACACUGGAACUGAGACACGGUCCAGACUCCUACGGGAGGCAGCAGUAGGGAAUCUUCCGCAAUGGGCGAAAGCCUGACGGAGCAACGCCGCGUGAGUGAUGAAGGUCUUCGGAUCGUAAAACUCUGUUAUUAGGGAAGAACAAAUGUGUAAGUAACUAUGCACGUCUUGACGGUACCGAAUCAGAAAGCCACGGCUAACUACG
rnacentral:rRNA from 1 species